AGCAUCUGGGGUAGCGGCGACCCAUAUUUCAGUUGAAUCCUCUCCGAGCUCUCCCCUUUUCGGCAUGUCCAACAUACCCCUAAAUCACGUUACGUGUACUGCACAGGCCUCAAAAUGGUGUUGUGUCCCAGACACGCCCACAAGUUUUAACACAGUCACGCCCCCAAAUUAAUCAAGCGUCUGCUGCAAUUUUGGACCAACUGUCACCGGAAUGGCACUGGGAUGAGGUCUCCGGUCCCCGGUGGCUGGUGGCUGGUACGCCGGUCUCUACGCUCUCUCUGGCGUAUGCGUGGGCGAAUCCUUGCUGCGGUUCAAUCUGCUACUGCAGCAAUUGCAUCAGAAUCCGGCCGCCACCUGAUGAUGAGGUUGACGGGUCCAGAACUGCCACUUGUUCCACUGCCAAGGCUGCUGCUGUGUGUGUGUGCUCCCCUUUAUGGGUGUCACGAGCGUACCUGGUGGCUCGGUGACUGCCUGAUUUUGACAAGCUCAAUUAGGGCAGCCAGCACUCUAAACGGAUUGGAAUCGGGAUUGGGUAAUGGCGAUGGAUGUGUUCUGUGUGUGUGUGUGUGCGUGUGCUGCAUCCACGUUGUUAUUCGAAUGGUUUUGGCAAUAAUGGAGAAAAGAAAGCGUUUAAAUUAAUUGCAAUUUUAAGCAGAUUGAAAGUUGUUAAACAGCGAACCAACUUACAACUUACAGCAAAGUGAACGUUAAUACCCAACGCAACCCAAUGGAGAUGCAUGCCACAUGCAUUCACCCAUUGCCACAUCCCCACUUUGGCUUCUGUUGCACGCACACACACUGCACUUAAGAUGAUAAUCAUGUUUACGUGGCGCAAGUUAAAUUGCUAACGUAAUGGACUAACAGCAGGUGAGGCGGAGUCCUGCCUCGAGCAGGAGCCUGCUGCCUGCUGCCUGGAAACUGAAGCUGCUGCUGCUGCUGGAGCAUCUCCUCAUGCGUGC
rnacentral:lncRNA from 1 species